GGACCCGCACAAGCAGCGGAGCAUGUGGCUUAAUUCGAAGCAACGCGAAGAACCUUACCUGGCCUUGACAUGCAGGUGAAGCGGCGGAAACGCCGUGGCCGGAAGGAGCCUGCGCAGGUGGUGCAUGGCUGUCGUCAGCUCGUGUCGUGAGAUGUUAGGUUAAGUCCUGCAACGAGCGCAACCCCCGUCGCAUGUUGCCAGCAUCAAGUUGGGGACUCAUGCGAGACUGCCGGCGUCAAGCCGGAGGAAGGUGGGGACGACGUCAAGUCAUCAUGCCCCUUAUGGCCAGGGCCGCACACGUGCUACAUUGGCCGGUACAGAGGGCUGCGAACCCGCGAGGGCGAGCGAAUCCCGGAAAGCCGGCCCCAGUUCGGAUCGCAGGCUGCAACCCGCCUGCGUGAAGCCGGAGUUGCUAGUAAUCGCGGAUCAGCACGCCGCGGUGAAUACGUUCCCGGGUCUU
rnacentral:rRNA from 1 species